rnacentral:tRNA from 3 species
CGGGAUGUAGCUCAGCUUGGUAGAGCACCAGCAUGGGGUGCUGGGGGUCGCAGGUUCGAAUCCUGUCAUCCCGA